AGAACGAACGCUGGCGGCAGGCCUAACACAUGCAAGUCGAACGCAACCUUCGGGUUGAGUGGCGCACGGGUGAGUAACGCGUGGGAAUCUGCCCUGUGGUACGGAAUAACAUCGGGAAACUGGUGCUAAUACCGUAUAUCCCCUGAGGGGGAAAGAUUUAUCGCCAUGGGAGGAGCCCGCGUAGGAUUAGCUAGUUGGUGAGGUAACGGCUCACCAAGGCGACGAUCCUUAGCUGGUCUGAGAGGAUGAUCAGCCACACUGGGACUGAGACACGGCCCAGACUCCUACGGGAGGCAGCAGUGGGGAAUAUUGGACAAUGGGGGAAACCCUGAUCCAGCCAUGCCGCGUGUGUGAUGAAGGCCUUGGGUUGUAAAGCACUUUCGCACGUGACGAUGAUGACGGUAACGUGAGAAGAAGCCCGGCUAACUUCGCGCCAGCAGCCGC
rnacentral:rRNA from 1 species